rnacentral:tRNA from 1 species
AAAUAAGAAGCAAUCUUUUGCAUCUAGUUUCGACCUAGAAGUUUGACCUGCCCAGUCCUUAUUUA